GUGGAUUCCCUGUGCUGGCACAUAGUCACACCCUGUGCUCCACAUGCCUCAUUGACACAGACCUGAAUCCUGUGGCUGGUUCCUCUUGUGUCCUCCAGAGAGCUUUACUCAGGCCUCACCACCACUUCUGAGCAGCAGCCUUGAAGUCUUGAAACUCACCAUGUCAUAUUGAAAAUGAGAGACAACAGCUGUCAGAGCCAGCAUUUGAUGCCUUUAACUUGUUUCCAGGAACUCUUUGUGAUAUUAUUAUUACUUACAUUUUUGAGGUGGAGGAACUGAGACCAUGUCAGUGAACAAUUUGCUGAAGUGGAGGAGUGGGGUUUCAACCCUAAUAACUGGUGAGCAUUUUCUAUGGUCUUCACCAUCACCAUGCCAAAUCUGCUGUAUGUCUUUAUCUAAGCCAGCAUUUCUCAAACUUGAGCAUGUCUCACAGUCCCUGAGGACAUGUAAAACCCAUCUCCAGUUUUGCGAGUCAGUAGUCCUGGAUAGGGCCCAGGAAUCUGCACUUCUAACAAGUUCC
ensembl:lncRNA